GCCGGGCAUGGUGGUGUCUGCCUGUAAUUCCAGUGCCUUGGGAGGCUGAGGCAGGAGGAUCAUGAGUUCAAAGCCAGCCUCAGCGAAAAUCAAGGCACUAAGCAACUCAGUGAGACCCUGUCUCUA
rnacentral:sRNA from 1 species